GUGAGGAAUAUUGGACAAUGGGCGCAAGCCUGAUCCAGCCAUGCCGCGUGCAGGAAGACGCAUCUAUGGUGUGUAAACUGCUUUUGUACGGGAAGAAACACUCCCUCGUGAGGGAGCUUGACGGUACCGUAAGAAUAAGGAUCGGCUAACUCCGUGCCAGCAGCCGCGGUAAUACGGAGGAUCCAAGCGUUAUCCGGAAUCAUUGGGUUUAAAGGGUCCGUAGGCGGUUUAAUAAGUCAGUGGUGAAAGCCCAUCGCUCAACGAUGGAACGGCCAUUGAUACUGUUAGACUUGAAUUAGAAGGAAGUAACUAGAAUAUGUAGUGUAGCGGUGAAAUGCUUAGAUAUUACAUGGAAUACCAAUUGCGAAGGCAGGUUACUACUUGUGGAUUGACGCUGAUUGACGAAAGCGUGGGGAGCGAACAGGAUUAGAAACCCCUGUAGUCC
rnacentral:rRNA from 1 species